ACGGGUGAGUAACGCGUGGAUAAUCUUCCUCUAGGUGGGGAAUAACCAGUCGAAAGACUGGCUAAUACCGCAUAAGACCACAAGGGCCUCGGCUCUAGGGGUUAAAGGCGUAAGUCGCCUGGAGAUGAGUUUGCGCCCGAUUAGCUAGUUGGUGGGGUAAUGGCCCACCAAGGCGACGAUCGGUAGCUGGUCUGAGAGGACGGCCAGCCACACUGGGACUGAGACACGGCCCAGACUCCUACGGGAGGCAGCAGUAGGGAAUAUUGCACAAUGGAGGAAACUCUGAUGCAGCGACGCCGCGUGAGUGACGAAGGCCUUCGGGUUGUAAAGCUCUGUUCUCAGGGAAAAAGAAAGUGAUUGUACCUGAGAAGAAAGGACCGGCUAACUUCGUGCCAGCAGCCGCGGUAAGACGAGGGGUCCAAGCGUUGUUCGGAAUCAUUGGGCGUAAAGCGGGUGUAGGUGGCUCUCUAAGUCAGGAGUGAAAGCCCCAAGCUUAACUUGGGAAGUGCUUUUGAUACUGGAGAGCUUGAAUGUGGGAGAGGAUCGUGGAAUUCCAGGU
rnacentral:rRNA from 1 species